rnacentral:rRNA from 1 species
AUUGAACGCUGGCGGCAGGCCUAACACAUGCAAGUCGAACGAGUGGCGGACGGGUGAGUAAUGUCUGGGAAACUGCCUGAUGGAGGGGGAUAACUACUGGACACGGUAGCUAAUACCGCAUACCAUCAGAUGUGCCCCGAUGGGAUUAGCUUGUUGUUGGGGUAACGGCUCACCAAGGCGACGCUCCCUAGCUGGGCUGAGAGGAUGACGAGGCAAACUGGAAAUGUGAAACGGGCCAGACUCCUACGGGAGGCAGCAGUGGGUAAUAGUGCACAAUGGGCGCAAGCCUGAUGCAGCCAUGCCGCGUGUAUGAAGAAGGCCUUCGGGUUUUAAAGUACUUUCAGCGGGGAGGCGUUACCCGCAGAAGAAGAACCGGCUAACUCCGUGCCAGCAGCCGCGGUAAUAC